AAAGAGAACACCCCCGUGGUUGGUUGGAGUGGUCUGUGCUGCUGUGGUCGUUCUAGUCAUCAUUGCUGUGGUGACCGUUCUGUUAUGCCGACGGAAACACACCCCAGGUACCAACGUGCCAGGGAAGAGUGGAAACGAAAUGAAAAAUCUCGGUACACCUGAGCGACAUGAUCACACAGCUAGCGAAGGGACGGUUGACAACAUUAUCUACAACACCGAAGACGAGGGUUUCGUGGACAACGUCAUCUACAACGCCGGCGAUGAAGGGACCGUGGACAACGUCAUCUACCAAGGAGAAAACUCUAAAUCCAACAAUCAAGAGAAUGCACCUGAGUCGCAGUACGAGACUGUCAACUAGGGAAGUGGUGUCGUAUCUACAGUUGAGAAAACGUCGGCUGUAGACUGUCAUCGGUCCAUUACAGUCACUCUGUAUCUAUAUGAAUAGCUAAUACAUGUAAUAUGAAAAUUAAGCAAUAUUUUAUACGGAUUAAAUACUUUAUUGUACACCAUUUAGAUCAAUACAUUUCAAGUCACACAGUAUACCAUGUUAUUUGUCCGAUGAGCAUAACGGAAUAAUACAAUCUGAAUGGUUCGUUCUAGUUA